GUCUCUAUAAUUCAGUGGACUAGAAUACCUCGGUCCUAACGAGAACGUCGCAGGUUCGAAUCCUGCUAGAGACUCCA
rnacentral:tRNA from 1 species